GGAAGGGGAACCUCGCCCCAAAACCAGCGGGGGCGUCUCUGGAAGGUUUUCUUUUUGAGGGGCCAGGGUACGUUUGGAUCUUGAAGGACCCCGAAGCUCAGCCGGAAAUGCCCCGGGAGGGAUCUUGGCAGGUCCCACGUGGUGAUCACCCAGUACUGGUGGGCAGAGGGCCAGUAUGGGGUUUGGGGAUCCCCAGGAGAGCCGUGGGGGAAUGCGGGAGCCCCGGAGAGGGGAGAGCGCAGAGGGGCAUUCCCAGAGCCAGGGAACCCCCGGCAGCCUGGAGGAGUGCAAGAGGUUGGUGAUGAGCAGCCCCAGGCUCUCUGAGGUUGAAAGGGGUGAUGACAUCUCCAGCUACCCUUGGCCCGCAGGAACAUCAAAACCAAUGUGCUCAGCCCUUGUUUUUCCCCAAAACCAGGAUUUCCCAUUCCCAAAUCAUGGUCAGAUGGAGGAGGAGGCCGUGAGGAAGAUGGCCCAGAAGCCCUAUGCAGGUGAGGGGGAAGUCCCUGCCCCCUUCCCCCUCUGUCCUGCUCCAUCUCCCAGCCCAGCACGGCCCCCGGCUGCAGGACAACCCCGCUGCCGACACCGUCCUGCCGGGGACAUGCUGGGGGGAUCUCCUUCCCCCUCCCUCUGGAACAGAGGCAAAUCCCAUCCUCUCCUUGUCCUUCCUCCCCCAGACAAGGAGCUGAGGAUGGAGACCAGGGAGGACAAAUCCCCACAGCUGAACCUUAUGGAAAAGGCAUUUUAAACCAGCUCCAUGGUGCAGGAAUCCAAGGAGGAGGAAAAGCCCCAGAGAUCCCUCAUGAGGGGUUACAAAUGCAGAUCACGGUGAUCCAAAGCAGAAAGACCCACUCCGGGCCAGGGAGGUGGCCAGAGAUGCUGCUGGAGCUUAGAGCUGAGAGUCCAUGAGCAGCUUCAUGAUGGGGAGAAGCCCCACAAGUGCUCAGAAUGUGGGAAGAGCUUCAGCAAGUGAUCCUACCUGAUCCAACACUGGAGAAUCCACAUGAGGGAACAGCCCUAUGAGUGUGGGGAGUGUGGGAAGGGCUUCAAGACAAGCUCUGACCUGACUGCCCACCAGAUGAGCCACACAAAGCAGAGGCGUGCCGAUUGUGAGGAAUGCAGGAAGACAUUUAAGACUAGCUCCAGUCUCCUCAGGCAUCAGCAGAUUCAGAGGAGAGGCCCUUCCACUGACCCAACAAUGGGAAUGGCUUCAACCAAAACUCCACUGUCGUCACCCACCAGCGCAUAUAUACUAGGACGAGGCCCUACGAGUGUCCCAAAUGUGUGAAGUCCUGUUCCAGAAGCUCUCACUUUACCCUACACCAAUGAAGGCACCACUAAGGGAAGCCCUGCAAAUCAAGUGCAGGAAGAGCUUCAUGUGCUGCUCCAGCUCCAUCCCCCGUGGCAGGAUCUGUGCUGGAUGUUCCUGUGGCCCCCAGUGGGCAGAGCAUUGCUGGUCCAUGGUGCCCGUGAUCUAUGUUAGAAAUACACCUGGCUGGGUGGCUCCACAUCCUCCUGGCUCCCCAUGGGCACCUGGACAUAUCCACAGAUCAACAUCAGAAAUCCAUUGUGAAGAGCACGUUUGUCGACUUCUGACCCGAGAAAAAUCUCACUCUUUGCAUCUUCUGGUGGUAUCAAGCAACACUGAAUGGCCUUGGAGGUCUUCUCCAAUAGAAAUCCAUCAUUUUAAUCCUUUCUGGCUCAUGGGCAUCUUCCACAGCCAAAUGGGAACAUACUGGGGCAAACCCCACAAUUUUGGAGAUGGUGGGGUGGAAACCCCUUCAAAAAGGGUUCUUCCCACCCAGCCAAGCAUGUGGAUGCUUUGCCAGCAGGGACACAUAAAUUCUUUUGUUUUGGCCUUGAAACAAAAAGGUUUCUGUUCAUUCCUUUGAAAGCCCUGUAACUGGGGUUAAAAAUAACGACAAGGAACUAAGACAUGGGUGGGGCCAUGGGGGGAGAUGGAUGAGGAUGUGAGGAACAUGGAUGGGGACAUUGCGAAGUGCUGUCCAAUGCAGGUACUGCCACCACAUCCCCACUAUCACCACCACAGUGCACCAGCCAGAUGUCAUCACCCAGCAGGGCAGGAGGUGGAACUUGUUCGGCUGUUGACAAGUGGCCCGGAGGAUGUCCCCAUGGCUGCUUCUGGCACGGAGCAUCUGCACUCACCCUGGCACAGUGCUCACCAUCCUGGAUACCCUUGAGUCCCCGGCCUGGGACUGUGGAUUUCCUCUUCCAAGAGAUUCAGAGCUGGACCGGC